rnacentral:rRNA from 1 species
AACGAACGCUGGCGGCAGGCCUAACACAUGCAAGUCGAACGUGAAGCCACCUUCGGGUGGUGGAAAGUGGCAGACGGGUGAGUAACACGUGGGAACGUACCCUUCGGUUCGGAAUAACCCAGGGAAACUUGGGCUAAUACCGGAUACGUCCGAAAGGAGAAAGAUUUAUCGCCGAAGGAUCGGCCCGCGUCGGAUUAGCUAGUUGGUGAGGUAACGGCUCACCAAGGCGACGAUCCGUAGCUGGUCUGAGAGGAUGAUCAGCCACACUGGGACUGAGACACGGCCCAGACUCCUACGGGAGGCAGCAGUGGGGAAUAUUGGACAAUGGGCGCAAGCCUGAUCCAGCCAUGCCGCGUGAGUGAUGAAGGCCCUAGGGUUGUAAAGCUCUUUCGCCAGGGACGAUAAUGACGGUACCUGGAUAAGAAGCCCCGGCUAACUUCGUGCCAGCAGCCGCGGUAAUACGAAGGGGGCUAGCGUUGUUCGGAAUCACUGGGCGUAAAGCGCAUGUAGGCGG